rnacentral:rRNA from 1 species
ACACUCCUGCGGGAGGCAGCAGUGGGGAAUUUUGGACAAUGGGCGAAAGCCUGAUCCAGCAAUGCCGCGUGAGUGAAGAAGGCCUUCGGGUUGUAAAGCUCUUUUGUCAGGGAAGAAACGGUGAGAGCUAAUAUCUCUUGCUAAUGACGGUACCUGAAGAAUAAGCACCGGCUAACUACGUGCCAGCAGCCGCGGUAAUACGUAGGGUGCAAGCGUUAAUCGGAAUUACUGGGCGUAAAGCGUGCGCAGGCGGUUUUGUAAGUCUGAUGUGAAAUCCCCGGGCUCAACCUGGGAAUUGCAUUGGAGACUGCAAGGCUAGAAUCUGGCAGAGGGGGGUAGAAUUCCACGUGUAGCAGUGAAAUGCGUAGAUAUGUGGAGGAACACCGAUGGCGAAGGCAGCCCCCUGGGUCAAGAUUGACGCUCAUGCACGAAAGCGUGGGGAGCAAACAGGAUUAGAUACCCGGGUAGUCCCAUG